rnacentral:rRNA from 1 species
UACGGAGGGGGCGAGCGUUGUCCGAAGUUACUGGGCGUAAAGCGCGCGUAGGCGGGUUGGUAAGUCCGCUGUGAAAGCCCGGAGCUUAACUCCGGAGGGUCGGUGGAUACUGCCAGUCUCGAAGGUGCUAGGGGGAGAUGGAAUUACCGGUGUAGCGGUGAAAUGCGUAGAUAUCGGUAGGAACACCAGUGGCGAAGGCGGUCUCCUGGGGCAUUCUUGACGCUGAGGCGCGAAAGCUGGGGGAGCAAACGGG